UCAUUCGGAGGCGCCCUCCUACCAAUCCCCGGGCCUGUCGGGAGAUCAACCUCGCUCCUGGAGGCUGAGGCCUGAUUGGUCGGUAUGAUUGGGAGGCGGGUCGUGUGCAAUGAUUGACAGGGGGUGGUAGCCGCGGCAGCAGAACUGAGCCCCACAACUUCCCACCGAGGAAUCUUCGGGGUGUCAACAAUGGCAGGGAACUCGGGGAACCGCUACCUGGGGAGCAAGAAGAGAACUACUUCGGAGCUGCAUGGGCUGCACCCACACCAUGGCAGAGAUAACAAGGAGGACCUUCCAGGGGUUUCUCCACCUAAUAAACGAUCCAGAAAUAUUGAUGUUACUGAUUUCAAAGAGACAGAAGAUUCCUUUGGAUAUAAUGAAGAGUUUACAGCAGAUGAUUUGGAAGAAAUUGAUAUCAUUGCAUCCCAAGCUUUAACUCAAAGUUUAGACUGUAAGGUCCAGUUGAACACAAAUCCUACCUUAAGUUCUACUUCCUUCUCAACUGCUAGAAGCUGCAGUCAAAGUGUGGGGCAUUUGGAACUUCCCAGAAAUGACAGCACAGCAAGAUACUCCCUUGGAAUCCCCAAGUUUCCCGAACAAGAUGGAAUGUCCAGAAGUAAAAAUAUUUCAGAGAAAAGCAGAGAAAGAAUUUUAGCUAAAGAUGUUUCUGAAUUUGAAAGACUUAAGAUACAACAUGAAAAACUAAAGGAAAAGAUGAAAGCAAUGCAAGAAGAAAUACUCAUUAAAAAUGGAGAAAUUAAAAUCUUACGUGACUCAUUGCAUCACACAGAAUCUAAUCUAGAAGAGAAGAAACGGUCACAUUUCCUUCUUGAACAGGAAAAAAUUCAGGCCCUCAAUGACAAAGAAAAGGAAUUCUCCAAAAAGCUCCAGUCACUGCAGUCAGAACUUCAGUUUAAAGAUGCUGAAAUGAAUGAAUUGAGGACCAAGCUGCAGAACAGUGGAAAAGCCAGUAAAGCCACCACUACUCUGUCCAUCUCCCAUGUCAGUCCUAGGAAAAGCCCUUCCAGAGUUAUAAAGACAGAAGCUUGUUCUCCACAAAUUGGAAAAUCAUUUUUUCCUACAAAAGAGUCCUUCAGUGCCAGAACAUCCCCUCCCCAUCCCGGCCAACUCUCAACACAGUCCUGUGUCAUGGCACUCUCCUACAGAGAGGAUAAUAAAGCCCACAGUUCAGGAAAUGAAUCUCUAAAACAAGAAGAGACACAAAGAAAUUUUAUUCCCAGUUGUGUUCAGCAACCAAACACUCAAGGUUCUGUUUUGAUAAACUUGCUUCUGAAGCAGCCUUUGACCUCAGGGCUGUCUCUAAGUCUGUGUCAUCUUCUGAGCAGUCAUCCUGAAGUCCCUGCUGGCUUGUUCCAGCCUCCAAAAUUGGGCAGUACUUCAUCAGGAAUGUCAAAUAUCCAGACCACAUGUUCUCGAGAAGGGUCAUUCUCUGCCUUAUCCCUGAGAGAAGCACAGAGCUUGGCCACCACAGGACUAAAUCUAAUUGCCAGGGAUGAUGGUUCAUUUGAUGAAAGCCUCACAGAGGGGAACAAGAGGGCAUCUCAGGUCACUCAGCUUUGCCAGCUCCCAGGGGCUGUGCACCUUCUCCCACUUGUGAGAUACCACAUCAGCCUUUACUGCCAGACUCUGCAGGCUGUGGCCACAGUGAAAAGGAGUAGUUCUGGGGACUCAUCAGCCUGCUCUUCUCGAGUGAGCACCAGUGUGGAAUCUAACACAGAAGAUUCCUUGUCAGCUCUGGAAGGAUUCACUAUGGUAGCACUCGGCAUUCUUCAGCACCUGGUGUGUUAUAGUGGGGCUGUUGUUCAAGCACUACUGUCAGAAGGGAGGAGAAGAGAUGUUACUGAUGGAGAGGAUCCUCUCUUAGGAGAGAACAAGAAAACUAUGUGCAAAAGGAGUCAGGAGAAGAUUUCAGAAAACCCUAUGGUGGAAGACCAACUGGCUGAAACUCCAGAGGAGACCUCAGAUAGCCAAGACCAACAACCAUUAUUGAAGAUGCUCCUCUACUUGUUGUCUUUUUCCUCUGCUUCAACAGGUCACCUACAAGUUAGAGUCCUAAACCAGUGUCUUAAGGUUUUGGUGAAAUUAGCUGAAAACUGUGCUUUUGAUUUUUUACCCAGGUUCCAGUGUGUGCUGAAUAGCCAUGGGUUGCUCCAGUGCCUUUCCUCAACAGCCCAUCUGUCAACUGUCCUCCUGACUAUUCAUCUUCUGUCCCUGCUUUGCGACCAUAAGAAGUUAGCUCCUCAGCUCUGCUCUCAGUCAGAAACCUGUCUUCUCCUUUUGCUGUAUAUGUAUAUCACCUCCAGGCCAGAUAAAGCAGUGGUGGAAACACAGUGGUUUCAACUGGAACAAGAGACUGUGUGGUUCCUGGCCAAGAUGAUGCAGAGUCCCGACUCUCCUAUUGCCCUUAUAGGAUCGGACUGCCAGUGCAGCCUAGAGGUUGUCAAAGCACUCAUAGUGAUGCUCCACAGACAGUGGCUGACCAUUCGGAGAUUAGAAGGCCAUGUACACACAGGGCAGAGGAAGCAAAUGGUCCGAUGUCUCCGGGAUACCUUGUUAUUAUUGCACAGUCUGUCUCAGAGAGACACACUAUUCCAUGUGCACUGCAUGGAUGUUCUUCACCAGUAUGACCAGGUGAUUCCUGGUAUCCAGGCCCUCCUUCGAGGCCUUCCUGAUAGGACAAACUAUGAAGAGACAGCUCUGGAAGACCUGUGCCGCACAGAACCAGACCUGGAUGACCCUGACAUGGACCCUAGCUAAACCACAAGGUGGUACGAAUGCCACCAACUUUUCAGCUUUAGACAUGAAUUUUAUAGAGAAGUUUUAGAAUUUGUAUCAACUUAUUAAAGACGAAUGAAUGUCAUUGACAAUUCAAAGAAUAUUAUGGUGGUUGUUUUUAAUCACUAUUGUGUCUGGAUCCUUCCUUACCUAAUUCUGCAUUUGGAAGAACCUCUGAAAAUGGAUUCAUAAAUUUUAGAACUACAAUGGGCUUUAGAGAGAACAAUGCAACUUCUAUUUGGGAGCUUGGGAAACUGAGGUUAAGUCACUUGCUGAAGCCCUGCAAUGUCGCCUGUUCUUCCCAUCAAGGUUCUCUAUCUGGAAAUAAGCACAAGGAGUCCCUCCCCCAGCAAAAACACUUGGUGGCCCCACUGUUGGCAACUGAAGAGCAUCCCGGGGAAGCCAAGUUGAGGCUUCCACUUGUGUGGAAAGAAAAGCAACCCCUCCUCCCCAUGGAACCGACUCCACUUUGUCCAUCCCUGGAGAGAGGAAGCAGUAGGGGUCCCUGGAAAAGCAACACCCGGAACCUUCUUUCUGGGUCCCCCCCCCAAAUGCUUCAGAGCUCGGCUGAACUGUGGGAGAUGUGGCCAUGACCUAGGCGAGUCCCACCUGGAUUUCCUGGAGUCCCCAUAGGGAGCCAGCUGUAGAACCAGAUGCCAGAACUCGGGUGCCCUGCAUAGAUGCUGGGACCACUGUCAGUCACACAACCAGAAGCUGCGUGGUCCUCGGCAGGGCAAUGUGUGCCCGAAGGGCAGUCUCAGGCCUGGUCGGGGCAUCCCACAAACCUCCCUUUCUACACUGGAAGCCCAGGGCCAGCACUGGCCGCUCCUCGCAGUCACAGGUGACAGGCAGACACCCGCCCUGGUUGGGGGAGGGGCGUUCCCGCGCCCCGCCCUAGACGCUGGCAGGCGGGGUGAGGGCGGGGCUCAGCCCCAGCUGGAGUGGGAACUUUCGUUUCCCCAAAAGAGUGUGGAGAACUACUAGUUCCCCCGCGUCCCAGCAGCUUCCCCGCAGCGCCCAGCCCAGCCCAGCCCCGUCCUCCGAUCCAGCCGGCCGGUCUCGGAGCUUCGGAUUCCGCUGCCUCCCUAAGCGAGAGUAUCCCGCCCCCGCCAGGUCCCGGAGCUUCGGAUCCCGCCCCCGCCAGGUCUCGGAGCUUCGGAUCCCGCUGCCUCCCUAAGCGAGAGUAUCCCGCCCCCGCCAGGUCCCGGAGCUUCGGAUCCCGCCCCCGCCAGGUCUCGGAGCUUCGGAUCCCGCUGCCUCCCUAAGCUAGAGUAUCCCGCUCCUGCCGGGUCGGUGGACUUCAGACUCCACCCCCACCCCUUUUGAUCUGAGCUUAGGUCUUCUGCCUCCUUUCACCCUCUGCAGCUCCUCGUUCUCCUCCCCCAAGAUCCCUGAGGCACCGAGCCCCCCGCCGACUCCCUUCGCUCUCUUCCCAGGUCCAUGGGUUUGGAAGCUGCCUCCUCUAGGCCCAUGGAGACUCUUGUCUUCAUGGACCUAGAAGCCACGGGACUGCCAUUCUCGCAGCCCAAAGUCACCGAGCUGUGCCUGGUGGCCAUCCACAGACACGCCCUGGAGGCAUCCCAACAGGCACCUCCCCCGGGCGGCGCUUCCUCGGUGCCGCCGACCCCGCGGGUGGCUGACAAGCUCUGCCUGUGUGUGGCUCCUGGAAAAGCCUGUAGCGCAGCAGCCAGCAGCCUCACCGGCCUGAACACGGCCAUGUUGACUGCCCACCGACGGGGUCCCUUUGACUCGGCUCUCGCGGACCUGCUCCAGGCCUUCCUAAGGCGGCAGCGCCCCCCGCUCUGUCUCGUGGCCCACAAUGGGGACCGCUUUGACUUCCCCCUGUUGCAGGCUGAGCUGAGCGCCGCGGGGCUGGGCACAGAUGCUCUGAGCGGUGCCUUCUGUGCGGACAGCAUCACAGCCCUGAGAGCCCUGGACCGCUCCGGCCCUCCCAUCGAGUCCGGCCAAAGGAAGAGCUACAGUCUGGGCAAUGUCUACGCCCGCCUCUUCGGUCAAGCGGCGCCGGACACCCACACAGCGGAGGGCGAUGUCCUUGCUCUGGUCAGCGUCUGCCAGGCCAGGCCCCGGCCACUGCUGCAGUGGAUCGACACUAACGCCAGGCCCUUCAGUAGUGUCAGACCCAUGUAUGGAGGAGGGGCUGGGACGGACCCGGGGGGCACCCACGAUGCGGUCACCAGAACCCAGUACAGAAAGCCCAGGGCAGCCGCAGGCGCUGCCUCAGCCACCUCCGGGGAUGCCAGCCCGGCCACCAGAAAGAGGAGAGGCAGGUCUACGGCUCCCUCCCCGGCGGGCAGCCUCUCCAGUACCUCGUUUUUGAACACGUCCCACCUGCUAGCACUGCUGGGGCCCCUGGUCAUCUUAACGGUGGCAGUAGCUCUGUACUGGGUGCCCUGGGCUUCCUAGCUGCUGUCCCAGUGCCCCAUCUCAUCCUGACCGGGGCUGGCUUGUGGAUACAUUAUAAAAUAAAACUUCUAAAUAAAAAUGA